CAUUCACGGAGAGUUUGAUCCUGGCUCAGGACGAACGCUGGCGGCGUGCUUAACACAUGCAAGUCGAACGAUGAAGCCCUUCGGGGUGGAUUAGUGGCGAACGGGUGAGUAACACGUGGGCAAUCUGCCCUUCACUCUGGGACAAGCCCUGGAAACGGGGUCUAAUACCGGAUAACACUCCUGCCUGCAUGGGUGGGGGUUAAAAGCUCCGGCGGUGAAGGAUGAGCCCGCGGCCUAUCAGCUUGUUGGUG
rnacentral:rRNA from 1 species